rnacentral:rRNA from 1 species
GACAGAGGAUGCAAGCGUUAUCCGGAAUGAUUGGGCGUAAAGCGUCUGUAGGUGGCUUUUUAAGUCCGCCGUCAAAUCCCAGGGCUCAACCCUGGACAGGCGGUGGAAACUACCAAGCUGGAGUACGGUAGGGGCAGAGGGAAUUUCCGGUGGAGCGGUGGAAUGCGUAGAGAUCCGGAAGAACACCGGUGGCGAAGGCGGCCUGCUGGGCUAUGGCUGACACUGAGGCGCGACAGCGUGGGGAGCAAACAGG